rnacentral:rRNA from 1 species
AACGAACGCUGGCGGCAGGCCUAACACAUGCAAGUCGAACGCCCUAGCAAUAGGGAGUGGCGCACGGGUGCGUAACGCGUGGGAGUAUGCCCUUGACUGCGGGACAACAUCGGGAAACUGAUGCUAAUACCGCAUAAUGACUCCGGUCCAAAGAUUUAUCGGUCAAGGAUUAGCCCGCGUCUGAUUAGCUAGUUGGUGAGGUAAUGGCUCACCAAGGCGACGAUCAGUAGCUGGUCUGAGAGGAUGAUCAGCCACACUGGGACUGAGACAAGGCCCAGACUCCUACGGGAGGCAGCAGUGAGGAAUAUUGGACAAUGGGCGCAAGCCUGAUCCAGCCAUGCCGCGUGAGUGACGAAGGCCUUCGGGUUGUAAAGCUCUUUCAGAUGCGAAGAUAAUGACGGUAACAUCAGAAGAAGCCCCGGCUAAAUUCGUGCCAGCCGCCGCGGUAA